AGGGGCAACUAGAAAUCUGUUUAUCUGGCUGGAGCUGCUGACGGAACAGCUUUCCAGUAACCUUCGCCCCCUCGGCGUUCUGGAAGGUGCUCUGGAAGGUGCUGAGAUUCUGACCUGGGUUCUUUGUGUCGCCAGCAAGAAGCCAUUUCAGCUGAGCUAAAAAGAAUGUGGCAGGUGCCACGUCGGCAAGGUGGCCUCUUCCUCCAAGACCCACAGCUGGCCUGCGUCUCUGCAGACGGUGGGACCUCCCCCCGGGGGGACGCUGCCCCGUGUCCCCAGCAGAGAGGGACCCAGCCCCAGGUGUCCAUAGCCCCCCAGAAGAGAAAGGCUGCUGUUGGCCGGCCUGCCGGGACAGGGGGCGUAUGCCGCCUUCUGCCGUGGGCCCCAUGAGUACUCUGCCACCGUCUGGGAAACAGGGCAUCGGAUCCCCGCAGGGAAGCGUGUGGGAUGCGUGUCCAUCCAGGCAGGAGGUGUGAUGGGCGGCACAGGGUCUCUCUGUGUUCAUGGUGCUGGGACGCACGGGACUCAGUGGGGACAGGCUGGCCCUGGGACCCCAGACUGCCAAGCUCCUCUCGGCCGGUACCCGACCGAACUCUGACCGGUUCUGGGCAGAUGCCAGUGUGGGAACGUUUUGGACGCUGGGGUGCAGCCUGGGUGGUUGAGGCGUGGGCCAUGGGCCGUCUUCCCUACUCCCCGACAGCUCACCUGCGGGAGCUGGUCAGUCUCCCUGCUCCUGAGGAAGGAGAGUUUUUAUGAUUUAUAAAACCGAAUUUCACAUUUAGGGAAGGACUUAGUACUGGGAUCUUGGAAUUUGGCAAAUACGCUCGCUGGGUAAAGUCACGUUUACGUGAAGAAGGAAUUAAACGUGCAGAGCGAGGACGCCAACUGUGUGCAAGCCGAGUUGGGGGAGCGUUUGCGUGCUGCCUGGAGACCCGUCCCGGACGUGACAAGUCAGCCUGUUGAGAGCACUGAAACUCUGACGAUGAAUCCACCGGCGGGACUCAGGCCUUUCCCCUCCGGAGGAGGCGCCCCUGCAGGAAGAGGUGCCACGGGAGGGCUGGCCGGGCAUCCCUCAGGGAGCGCUCGGGGGCCGGAGACACACCCCGAAGCUCGGAGCCGGGCGUUUCCCAGUCCGGGCUCAGGGCACACCGGGCGGGUGGGGCGGGUCUGGGGGACGGCAGACGGGCACCUGCUGCAAUGCUGCUGGGAAACCAGCUGCCCCCCCCGCCCCCCCCCCCCACACACACACCCUAGCUUCGCCGUGUCGUCAUUUACUCUUUCAUGGAUUCACUGCACGGACACCUGUGGGCGGGCAUCUCCAAGGCUCCUGGCCACAGACAUGGCAGGACAGACGUGCUCGCCGCCCCAAGCCCUGACCCUGCCAGGGUAGGUGAGGGACGCCCCAGAUCCUGAACCCCCGGCGCCGACAGCCCGAAUUCUGUUAGUUCCUCGCACGCUGCAUGUACCCAGUGGACAUGGUGUGGCUGUGUGUGUCGGCCGCGGGGCCUGGGGUUGGAUAGCCCCUCUGUGUCUGCGUCCUGGGGCCGCCGUCGCGGAUGAAGAGGCCGCUGGAGGUGAGAGGAGCACCCCAGCUCACGCGCCUGCAGACGCAAGGGCGGCCACCCCUCGAGGAGCCUGUGGCCGGGCCCACGCGGCCAGGUGAGCAGCGAGAACCGUAUCACAGGCUGAUGGCAGUGGCCGUGGAGGGAAGCUGUUGGAGUGUGGCUGGGGGGCUGUAUCAGUGCUGGCAGAGUGGCGUCUCUGGGCCGCUCGGGGAAGAUUCGGGACACAGGACGAAGGCUUUGAAUGCAGCUUGUGGAUGAAUUGCAUCUGCAAACGAGACUGGCAGGAGACCAGCCAGACUGCGGUUAACAGCUGGGCUUUGGCGGGGUGAGGGGCCCCGGGCCCGACGCUGGCACCCAGAAACCGUGGCCCCUCGAAGGUCACACUCAGCUCUCCUGGGUAACUUGUUGCUUGGCUGGACUUCAGACGCAGGGGGGCUGACACGAGGGGCACCGGGCACUGCCCCCUCCCUCCCUGACAAGACAGGAUGAGCCCAGAGGGGGCCCAGUGGGAACAAAGAGCAUCGAGUGUGCGUCUCUCCCGUCUCAGCCCCUUGCGGAUGCUUAUGAGCCCGUCUGCUGACCUGUGGGUUUCCCUUGUUUUGUUUCUCUGGUUUGCUGGCCAGAAAACGGUGGUCGGACCCGAAGGCCCCCACCCGGAUUUGCAUCUGGUACCCGGCUGGGGUUGGAUGGGCUCCUCUCCCCGACGUGGCCGGCGUGGGGAGGGGACCCAGAUCAGCUUUGUUCUGGCCAGGUUCACAGACCGUUUGUUUUGUGGAAAAGUCGUAUUUUCUGAGGAGGCCAGGUCGGAUCUCCCGUGCACUUGUAAAGUUAGAAAAUGGUGGGAGACAGGUGUGUACUGGGUGGACGGCCAGAGGUACGGCGCGAGGACUGGGUGUGGGGGGCUCCCGGAGGGCCACAGGCCGAGGCUCCGGGCUGAGAAGGAGAAACGGUAUAUAAAUCACCAGGAGACCCCAGGAGAGGGGCGAAGGUGUUUGCCUAAGAUGUUGACAUCAUUCCCACCCCGUCACCUGCUCUAGGAUGUUUUCAAAUUUAAUUUUUUUUAACUGCCAGGCCAACUUCUUGGGGCAUCGUUUUAUUCGGAUUGGUUCCAUUUCAGUGGCUUGAAAUGUCUAUUAAAAAAAUUAAAGCAUGAUUACAUAAAUUUAAAUUCUUAGGGUGGAAAAAAAAUAAAUUCUUACGGUAUAGCAAAUAAAUUGCGCCUGUUUUUAAGCAAUUCAAAGGGCAGAGUUAGUGCCUUCUGAUUAUGCAGCCCGACUGCAAGAUUUACCCCAUGAAGCCUGUUCUGGGGAGAAGCAUCACAAUGAGGAGGUGGUGAGGAGAGCCACUGGCAGGUGGUUGGAAUAUCAUCCUCAACCUGGCGGGAAGAGACGGCUCUUUGGCGUCUUCCUGGCGUCCCUCCAAGAACCAGCUCCCAGCUCAAGGAAUGCUCUUUGAAAACCUUUGGAAAUGCAAACGUGGGCAAUUCUUUUUCAAAAAUGCUACAGUGCUUUGAAGGAAGUGGGGGGAGGGGUGCAGCAGGCUCCCAGGGAGACGCCGAUUUCUUCCCAAACUUACAAAUCCAGAGCUUCCAUCGUGUAUUUUAAGGCAGCCUUUUGAUUCCCGCCUUCGUCCAUCUCACUGGAAAGACGUCGUCCGCGUCCCUGGCAUCUGGAUGGUGUUAGGGGGACACGGAGGGCACACACGGGUCUCUCAUGGUUCACUGAGGACCUUCAAGUCACGGCUUUUCUGCGUAUUUGCUGCGUGAUUCUGGGCCGGUGGCCUAGCCUGUCUGAGCCCCGGCCCCUCAUCUGUAACAAGCACCCCUUCCCCAGAGGCUGACGCGCUCAGGCUCCGAGGGGACGUUCUCAAGCGCCAUCCACGUCCUGCUUGCUCCACAGCGUCGCUGGCACUUGGUGUCACCUCCCUUUCCGUGGUAACCACUGUGGCGGAGACUGAAUUUUUCACCUUCUCUCCCCCUCCUCGCCACAGCUCCCCAUGCUGAGCUGCCGUUGCCAUAUCACACCGUGUGGACACGUGCAUCCAGUGCUGGCGGCCGGGGCCCCAAGACGCGGUCCUCCGAGAUGAGUGCCAGGCUCGGACAUGGCUUGUAGGGAACCCCGUCCCGGGGCAGCCAGGUGGGGGGGGUCAGUUGCCUUGUGUCUUUGAAGCCGCCCCUGCACGCGCCCAGGCCAGGGGUCCCCUCCCCAGCGCAAGGGUGGGCUCUCCCCUGUCCGUCGCUCGGAGCAGCCCUGCCCAUCUCCGUUUGGGUCCCAGGAAUGGAAUCCUCUGUAUCCGCUUGGCCUUCAGGAGAGACUGGGGUCUGUCCCCAGACCACACCCCUGCCCGUUUCUGGUGUCCUCUGUUUACUCGGGAUGAAGCCCCGACCUGCAUCUCCUUCAGACACACGUCUUGGCUGGACACCCACCUUCCAUGGCGGCCAGUGGAUGAGCUGUCCUGUGACCCCUGUCACAUGGGCAUGGCAUGGUGAGGAACACAGAGCCACAGGGCAGCACCUCAGUGCUCAUCACCACUGCCAAUCAGUCCUGACUUCCCCCUAAAGUCAGAUGGACCCAGAAGGAACCUUUCUGUGUGGAGGUCAGCCGUCGGAAGGUGGGGGGGGGGGCCUCAACCAAAAAAAAAAACAGGGAAUUUUGCAAGAACCCAGCCCUGGCUGGUAACAGGUGACCAACCAGCUUCCCGCCGCGACUGCCUGGAAAGCCGGAGGCUUGGAAGCUGCACCUGCCCCCCAGCAGAGCAGAGGAGCCACCGUGGGCCUGACUUGUGUAUGUGGGCAUGUGUGUGUGCACAGGGCACGUGCAUGGGGGAGGUGCUCUCACGAAGCACGUUGUGAGCAGCUCCUUCCUCUGCUUCCCCAGCCCCAGGCAGUCCCCAGGCGAGUGACUCCAUGAGUAUGAAUGGAGGUCAGUCCACGAAGCCGUACGUAUGUUUCACGGGGUGAGGAACUCGGGGCCUUGAGUCCGCUUUGCCUUCUGUAGGAGCCAGGGCAAUGGGGCACGUGACGCGAGCCUCGCCCUCCUGGCAGCGGGUCCUGGGGCAGGUAGCUGGGCGCACCCCUGCCCGGUGACCUCCGGCAGCACGAGCCCCUGCCGCUGGCUGGAACAGACGCCCUGGCGGCUCGGCUGGUCCUCCGGGGCCCGCACCCGCCCCACACCUGGAGGGGAAGCAGCCUGUCACUCUCCACCUUUCUAUUCUGUUCACCUCUGGAGCCAUUUGUGCAGAGACUUAAGCGGGUUUGAUGUGAUGAAUCACAAAUCACACCCUUUAUUCAAAAACUCCACAUAAACGGCCAUGCCGUUUGGGAUGGAUUGGGCCCGCACGAUGAGUUAUGGGCUCGUUAGAGUGGCAGGGCACAUCCCUUUAUCAUAUUAGGUUUCUUUAAAUCACACAGAGCGUUCGUUUUUAGAAACAAUUCCCACCCACCUCAAGGAGUCGUCCGUACCGCUCCAGGAAAUGUGAUGCAAUCCCGUUUUUAACGGGAUACACAUGGCUUGCAGUUGUGUGGUGAGUUGAUUCCAUUAUUUCUUCCCCGUGAGGACAGCCCGUAAAGAUUGAUUACACAUUACAAAUGGUAUUAGGGACACAGCCUGUGUCUCUUCCUGCCUGUGGCUCUGCGUGCGGCCCCCGCUCCCUCGCUCGGAUGUCGCGCCCGCGAUGGGUUCGCCCCGGCCCCCCUGCCCGGAGGGAAGUGCAUGUUCCUCCCUCUCUUUUCGACGGGGGACCACAGCGGUUCACCAGGGAUGGCUUGAGCUUUGGGGUCAAGAACGUGUAUUUGGGGAUCACUGAGUCUUUGAAAUCUGGGUCUCUUCCAUGAAUACGUGUCGAAAGAUCUGGGCAGAUGCCAGCCCUGGUCUCUUAGAGGUUCCUGUGACAGCAGGAUCCAGAAGGAGGUGGAGAAUCACCCAAAUGUUUUUAGGAUGGGGAAGAAAGGUGCCCUGGAGAGAGGCUCUGGGCGGCAGGGUGUGAUGCGGUCCUCCGUGCGGAGAUUGUCGUCAUCACCACCGGUGCACCUGGGCACUCCUCCCACAGACUUCUGUUCGAUAUGAGCAGGGCCCCUACAGCGAAACGGCCGGAGUCCAAGCGUGAACUUGAAUGCUCUCUCAGCUGAGCCACGACUGCGAGCAAACGGGCGUGGGAGCCCCGUGGUCCGGCACACGGCAUUGCCGCCAUCUGACAGGCCCGCGUGUGGGCAGCACCCCCUCUGAGAACAAGCGGUCUGCAGCUUGCCCAUCAGAGCACCGG